UUUGAGACUUUAAGAACAAAAACUUGAAAACUGUAAGGCAAAAAAUAUACAUAAAGAGAUUAAAAGAAAAAUUUGGAUAGAUCCAGAGCAUUUCAGUGGAAACACCUUCACAACUUAAAGCAAAGGAGGAAAAGAAAGAGCGGCUUACAUUUAGUUUUAGUUUUAAUUUGAGUUCUCACUCGUACGUGCAGCCUAUAACUACCUACAACACGCAAUUUCGGCGGUGACAAUGAACCUACUCAAGUUAUAUUACCAUUUUUCCAAUCCUUUACGUAAACUUGGAUUUGCACAAUUCAUAUAUCCCAUGUAUAAAGUUUCCUGUCUUUUACCUCAUCGUGAGGAUAGUUUGCCUGUUUUUGUUGAGCAUGAUGAAGAUUCUUUCGUUCAUAAAUUUAGAAAUAGCGCAUUUGCGAAAAUAGCUGGUGUUAAUGGCCCUGUGUUAAUUGGAAAAAUAGUUGAUAAAAAAGAAAACGUUUAUAAGAUCGAUGUAGGAUUAAAAUGGUUUGCUUACUUACCAAUUCAAAACCUGCCAAACUUGGAGGUGGGCAGUGAG